UUACGGGAGGCAGCAGUGGGGAAUAUUGCGCAAUGGCCGAAAGGCUGACGCAGCGACGCCGCGUGGGGGAUGAAGCAUUUCGGUGUGUAAACCCCUGUUGCCCGGGACGAACAACUGGUUUCGACCAGUCUGACGGUACCGGGUGAGGAAGCACCGGCUAACUCCGUGCCAGCAGCCGCGGUAAUACGGAGGGUGCGAGCGUUGUCCGGAAUCACUGGGCGUAAAGGGCGCGUAGGCGGUCUGCUAAGCGUGCGGUGAAAGCCUGGGGCUCAACCCCAGGUCUGCCGUGCGAACUGGUGGACUUGAGCACUGUAGAGGCAGGUGGAAUUCCGGGUGUAGCGGUGGAAUGCGUAGAGAUCCGGAAGAACACCGGUGGCGAAGGCGGCCUGCUGGGCAGUUGCUGACGCUGAUGCGCGACAGCGUGGGGAGCAAACAGGAUUAGAUACCCCGGU
rnacentral:rRNA from 1 species